rnacentral:rRNA from 1 species
CUGGCGGCGUGCCUAAUACAUGCAAGUCGAACGCUUCUUUCCUCCCGAGUGCUUGCACUCAAUUGGAAAGAGGAGUGGCGGACGGGUGAGUAACACGUGGGUAACCUACCCAUCAGAGGGGGAUAACACUUGGAAACAGGUGCUAAUACCGCAUAACAGUUUAUGCCGCAUGGCAUAAGAGUGAAAGGCGCUUUCGGGUGUCGCUGAUGGAUGGACCCGCGGUGCAUUAGCUAGUUGGUGAGGUAACGGCUCACCAAGGCCACGAUGCAUAGCCGACCUGAGAGGGUGAUCGGCCACACU